CGACUUCAUUACUCUAUCUUCAUCCAAUUAAUCCUUUCAUCAAUGCUCAACCAUACUCCAAGGAAGUCAAAUUGAUCCAAGUUCCAUCCAUCUUAAUAACAUCCUCCAACCCAACUAAACCCAUAAAACUCUCACUCUCUCUUCCUCCACUCUUCCUCCAACAUAAUUGUGGUUUGUGUUUCUCUGAUUCCUUAGAUCUUCCACCUAAGCUCCUCUCUUAGGUUUGUCAUCUUCGGCUGAAACGUACGUUAAGAUUCGAUCUUCUCAGGUAAUCUUCUCUCCUGAUGUUCAUGAUCACUUCGAUUGCAUAAUAUUUGUCUAACAACGAUGAUAUAUUUGUCAACUUCCAAAUUUUGCAUUUAAUCUAAUAACCUAUUAAUCGAAGGGAAGCCUUUGUUACCAAAGGGCAAGAAACAAUAGUAAGAACCAUACGAGAAGUCGUGUGGAUUGGGUCGAUUUCUUCAUCAGAAGUUUCUAUAGGUCCGUGAAGACCAAUGAAGACACUAAAGUUUUCUUUUUUCUUUAUUUUUUUUCUUCUUUUGUAUCUUUAAGUUGAUCAAUAUCUUCAUUUUUCUAUAUACAGACAGUUUGCUUCCAGUCCUUGCUAAGAACUAUUCUAAGGUUGUUGUUAUAUAAUUUUUUCAAAAGUUCUUACAUACAUAAAAUAAAUAAAGAGGCCACAAUGCUUUACCUGAAAGACGAUGGACAGGUAACUCAAAUUCUCUUAUUAUUAUUUUUGAUAUCUUAAGCAUCUGGCCCUUUAAUUUGUGGCUUAUAUGAGUUGGCUUUCAACUUAUAUGUACAAGUUAAUAGUGAUGAACUUUUGAUGGUGUUUCGCGAGCUGUACUUUGUCUUUGAGUACAUGCAAUACUUUUUCCUGCUUACAGUUUUGAUAUUUCCUGACACUAAUUCUUGUAACUGAAUCUGCGCAUGUCAUUCUUAUUUGAUCAGGAUUUUGGCUAAAUAUUUUAACUGAAGCUGAUAUCAGAAAUUGGUACUUUCAAGUCUUACAAGGCAAUUCUUACAUGCAUCAACGUGGUUACCUCCAACGCAAUCUUAAGCCAGGGAGGUUAAUUCGAGUCCACAUUAAUAGAAUAUGUUGUUGGCAGGGGAGGUUAAUUCAAGUCCACAUUUAUAGAGUAUGUUGUUAUAGAUGGUAGAGGGCACCAGAAGUACUUCUAAAGUCCUAUGUAUACACAGAAAAAGUUGGUUCGUAUGAUCUUAUCAAUAUCAUAGUAAACCAUUGAGUGCAUUCAUUCUCGGAUACCAAUCUUUACCUUUUUCAUGAUAGUCUAGCGGCUCUG